rnacentral:tRNA from 3 species
GCUGCUGUAGCUCAGUGGUAGAGCACUCCCUUGGUAAGGGAGAGGCCGAGAGUUCAAUUCUCUCCAGCAGCACCA